GGGAUGAUGAUUAUGAUAAUGAACUUGGAAUGACAGAGGAAGAUGAAGACUCCGGUAUUGAGUCUCCUGUCCAUCUAGAUGUUUGUACUCGUAAUCACUACCGGAAAUAUGAUUUACAUGAUGCUGUAAAUGAAAUUUCUGAUUUUGCUUGUGAUAGGGACAUCAGCAAGGUUUUAGGAACAUGCCCUAGGAUAUCACUCAAUUUUUGUAAUUCCAACUCUCAUCUCCUGGAUGUUCCUUCUGAUAAAAGGGUUGAUCAAGAAGGACAAGAUGACUCGUGCACAUCCUCUGAUACAGUGGCUUCUUCACAAGGGACUGAGGUGAAGGUUGAAAUUGAUGAUCACUGGCCAUGUAGUUUCAAUGAACCUUGUGGAAGUGGCGGGGAUCAUGUUUUAGAACCUUGUGAUGUCAAAGUUUGGGAUAAUGAUUAUAUGAUAUGCCCAAAAAGUAAAGUUGACUUUUUGCCUACUUGCAGUAUGAUUGAGGAGGUUUUCGGGGAUGGUUCAUGGAAUUACAAGGCAAAAGAUUACUAGAGCCCAAG
rnacentral:lncRNA from 1 species